UUUUGUAACCUGAUUCAUUUCAAAACGAGUCAUCUGUACAAUAUAUAAAAUGUCCAGUUGUUUAUUUCAGGAAUCAUAACUAGACAAAAAUGACCGAUAGGGGAUGUUUUCCACAAUAGGCCUUUUUUAUAUGAAAAAAUGAAAAACUUCCCAUUCUCACAGUUUUAAGGUCAGAUGUAGGUUAUUGUCCAUAUGACAUGCUAUUUCAUGCAUUCUGACUUCUUUACACUGUUAAAUGUGCUGGUUUAUCAUGCUUAACAUGGUCAACUUGUUAAGUUGGACGUAGUAUUUCUGUGCUUGAUCUACUCCCACUGCACUUCAAGUUGUUUCGUAAAGUCUGGAUCCCUGUUUCGUAAAAGAGAUCCUAUUCCUUUCAUUGGGCAAUUCGGAGGGAAAUUGAAAUUGAUUGUCGAUUCCCUACCCUAACUUUAAUAUUCAAACAUGUGUCAAUAAAUACAUUACACAAUAA